AGAUGGUUCUUCCCUUAUGAUUAUCAGAUUGUUCAGGAAAUCCACAGGCAUGAGAUCGACAGUAGGAUGGGGUUACUGGAGAUUGGAAAUGAGCUUACACCAGAAGAAGAAAGGAGCUAUGCAAUAAGGCAAUUGCCUGGGCAGAAAUCAAAACACACUGGUUUUGCCUUUGAUUCACCCGGCUAUGAGUCAUUUUUUGCAUCUCAGGCUGGCGUCUCAAUCCCCCAAAAGGCAUGGGAUGUAGCUCGGACUGCCUGGACAGAAAUCAAAACACACUGGUUUUGCCUUUGAUUCACCCGGCUACGAGUCAUUUUUUGCAUCUCAGGCUGGCGUCUCAAUCCCCCAAAAGGCAUGGGAUGUAGCUCGGAGAGCAAGUAUGAAACCACGGUCAAAGAUGCCUCGGGAUAACUGAAGUCCAGAUAGUACAAUUUUUCUUCCCUUUACACUGUACUUCUCUUUUGACCUCGUCAUCCAUAUAGUACAAUUUUUCUUCCCUUUACAAUGUACUUCUCUUUUGACCUCGUCAAUUUAGCUAAUACGUAGAAUUAGCUGUGUAAUAUAUCUCGUCAUGUAGUCUUAUUCUUUUGCCACCUUCCUCGCCCCCCCUUAUGAUUGUUUGGGUUAUAGUUAUAAUUAGGUUUAGUGAGCAUUGUAGCAAAUUUAUUUCAGUAGAAAACGAUACGGAUGUAACACUAUCUGGAAGUGGGAGCAACUAACAGUUAAGCUUGUAUCUGUUUAUUGGUAGUUGGAAUUCCCAAGGAACAUGAUUAAUAGAUCAGUCUUUUUGCAGUGGUAAUUCAAAUGAGCUGUAUUUUGUUAUUUGAGCUGAUUACAGCAAAGUGGCUCAGGGGAGAGCUCUUUUAACCUAGCAAGUCUUUUUUCCACACCUUUUAUUUCGUUGUGCUACUGUCAAGGUGAUUCUGCUGUAAAAUGAUAACCAUCAGAUGCUCAUCUUCUACUCUGGUAGAUUCAUCGACUACUAGUGUUUCAAUUUCAGUUCCUUGACUCUUGCUCGUUGUGUCAGCUAAGAAUAUACAUAUGGAAGAUGGCUAAUCGGACUCCCUUGCUCCGAUUCAUUUAGCGAUUGUUGGAAUCUUUUUAUGCUGCAAUGGGAUUCGGUUCUGGGUCAUGUUUUUAGAAGUAUUGGUUCUGAAAUAUUUUCAGAUAAAACAUCUAUUUAUAUGAUUUGAUUUACAU
rnacentral:lncRNA from 1 species